AAAACUCUACCGUUUGACACGAGAAUCACUGCAGAUUAGGCAGGACUGGCCCGGUUACUAGGGAAAACCUUGGGUGAGACAAUUAUUAUUUUAUAACACAACAAUAACCGACUUUACUUAAAUAAAAAAUUAAAAAUAAACUUAGACUAAAAGUAAGUGUUUCAAUCUCACUCCCCACAAACCAUGUUGGUGUGAUGUGCAAAGUUCAAAGUAUAAUUCAUGAAUUGGUGUCUAAGCAACGAUAAAUAGAAAGGACUCUACGUGGGAUUAAUCUUUACCAUGUCCAUUUGUUCUAACGUUUAAAAUAAUCUAUGGAUAUUAACUUAAAAAGAAUGAAAAUUCUUAACUGACAUAAAAAAAAUAAAAGCCUAAAAUUUACUUUCCCACCCCCAAACUUAAAUCACACGUUGUCCUCAAGGUGUGGAAAAUAAACAAAAGAAAACAAAAAUAUUAAAACCUUGAAAACGUAAAAUACCAAACAUAGACAGAGAAAAUAAACUAGGAAAACAGAAAUAGAAAAUAAAAGAAAGAAACAAUAAAAGAAAGUAUAAAAUAACAAAGAAAAUAGAAAAUAAAAGAAAAGACAAGGAAAUGGAGACACCUGGGAUUUGAAGUGGUGACCUAGUGCAAAGAGAAUAUGCGUUGGAAAAAUAAUAAAAAAGAAAGCACUAAUUCACUGAUUUGGAGACUCGAACUCGAACCUGUGGUCUGAACAAAACUAGGAGCGUUGAUGCCAAUGCGAAGCUCUACCCGUGUAGUGUUCACGUGGGAAAACCUUAACAAUUCCCCAUAUAAAUUAAGGUUUAGCAUUCAUUUUCGCCCUUUCUUUCUAGCAUUUCACCUCGAGCCCAAAGCCGUGGGGGUUCUCUCCAUCUUAUUCUCAAACCUUAGCCUAUCUCAGCGCUUCAUUUCUAUACCAUCUCACAAAAUUAAAACUACGGCGGACCUCUCGAAUCAAAGAUGACCCUAGCCGUCAGAUUGUACUGCCCCAUGGAAAUGUCGACUGUUCCGAGGCUCAGAAACUCAAAAUCCCAGCAAUCAUAAAGGUAAUUGUUCUUCCCGGUAUAUCUGAUUUUCAUGAGCGUGCUUCAAAAUGCAGGUCAGAAAGAAAACAAGGAAAAAUUAUCUCAUGCAUAUGUGUGCUAUCUGUGCAGGAGUCCUGGAAGCGACUGUGAUAGCAAAGACGAAGAACAUGAAGGACAGCAAACCUGAGAUCCGGUGGAUAAGAAACCGGUAGAUUUCACGAGAUCCUCAGAUUUGGAAUUAAAUAGGUAUAAAACAUGCUUCAUUCACUGUAUUGGCUGGGAUUUCUUCAUAGCAUUAGGAUGAUGGCCCACCUGGAACUCUGAUAAUUGUAGUUCGCCUCUGUAAAUUUUUGUCUGCGCAUGCAUCCAUAGAUCUACUAUACUUAUGCCAUGUAUUUGUUGUGCUUGCAUGCCUCCAUUAAAUGAAUGUUUAGCAAAAACAUAGCAUAAAUCUGGAUCUAAAUGCUGGAGUUGACAAAUGCCUUCCUCUAUGUUGCUUGGUCCACCCCCAAACUUGUAUGUAAUGGAAUUUGUAAGUGAGAGAUAGUGAGUAUUUCAGAACUGAUUUUCAUCCGUUGAGGUCUGAUGAAUGUGGAUAAAUGAAUGCUGCUGAAAGCAUGAUUCAGUUGAAUUUUGCGCACUUAAUGGAUAUUUAGGGCCCUUCGAGCCCAAAUGCAACCUGCAAAAAACACAGAUUAAAAAUCUAAUUAGAGUAAAUCCCAAAAUAAAAUACUGAUUAACAAAAAACAAUUGUUGUUUUUGUGUUUUUCAGUUUUCUGAUUUUUUUUUUUUUUUUUUUUUUUUGUGAUAAAGACUAGAAGGAAGAAAAUAAAAUGAAUGAAAAUAAAAAGAAAAGAGUUAGAAAAAUUGUGUUGCCUCCCAAUAAGUGUUGUAGUUAAUGUCUAUAGCUAGAUGUAGAGGAAUGAAUUGAUGAUCACGUCACUUGUUCUCUUAUAAUCAACCACUCCUUGAUAGCAUCAUACAACAACAGUAAGUACAGAAUGAGAUGAUGUUUGUCAAUUAUGUGUUUCAGGGAAGUGGUUGAAUCCUUCAUAUUAACCCUUCUAUGUGAAUGAAAUAUUAUAAUAAAAUAGGAUCCCUUCCAGCAACGUUUACGUCUUCAUCAAACUGACUUAAACCUUGUAUUUAACACCCACAAUUUCUGCAUUGGCCAAAUUUCUUGAAAAAGAAUUAGGUUGCCAUUAAGCUUUUUCUUUGUUUCCUUGUGGAUCAUAGUUUGCUUGUAUGACUUGCCUAGAUUUUCUUUAAAUUUGAAUGCUUGUACUGCUGGACCGUCCAAUUCAGCAACAUAAAUUGUAUCAGUAGUCAUCUGCCCUGUCUCCAACAGUGUGUUAGAGAGCUGAUCAUGCGACAUCUUAGAUGUUGAAUUUGUGUGAACCCCCCCUAACAUAUUAACACUCAUGUCUUCCUGCAGGCUUUGUGGGAAAGGUUUUGGUGACACAUGAACAUGGGUAGCACUCGGUUCUGGUGGGAUUAUAUGAUCAGCAUGUGCUACUUUCUCCCCUGGACGUGAAUGGAUGGCAGAUUGCUCUUCAAUUCAUGCACCAAUCUCCUCUUGAUCAUUAAAGCUCUUCCCAUAGUUUAAUGCUUGAAUCAGAGAUCCUUCAUUGGUUAUUUCAAUGUAUAAGUCAGUUAAUUCCAACAAUUUAGAGAGCUUGUCCUCCACUGAAAGCUCUUGUGGCACAUUAAGCUGCUCAAAAUACUGCCCAAGAUGCUCUUUCAAACUUUGAGUGUAGAACUCUGAAUGGGGAUUAUUCCAGUUCCAUUUUGAAUCGUUUCUCAUAUAUAUAUAUAUAUAUA
rnacentral:lncRNA from 1 species